rnacentral:lncRNA from 1 species
UGACAUUUAUAUGGCUGAGGAAUUUGAUGUUCAUGUUGUGGGCAUCGACCUCUCCGUAAACAUGAUAUCCUUUGCUCUUGAACGAGCUACUGGACUGAAAUGCUCAGUGGAAUUUGAAGUUGCUGAUUGCCCCAAGAAGGUUUAUCCGGACAACAGUUUUGAUGUUAUCUACAGCCGUGACACUAUUCUACACAUUCAUGUAAGAGGACUAGAUAACCGAUAAGAAAAGUUUUCCUUUUAAAAUGAUUUAAAGAUUUAGAAGUUUAGCAUAGGCAUCAAAAUGAGAAUGGAAGUUGCUAUUUGAAGAACUGUAAAUCAUUUCGGCUUUUCUCGAUCCACUUUGUUAUUCUCAUAUUUUGCAUCUAAAAUCGACUUUCAGGACAAACCUGCACUGUUUAGAUCUUUCUACAAAUGGUUGAAGCCAGGAGGCAAACUCCUCAUAAGUGAUUACUGUAAAAGUUCCAAGACUCCAUCCACGGAGUUUGCUGCGUAUAUCAAGCAGAGAGGCUAUGAUCUUCAUGAUGUAAAAUCAUAUGGACAGGUAUAUUCAAAUUAAUAAUGAUUUGCUGUUUUCAUUUCAUACACUAGUUGAUCUGCCUUGUGUUAUUGUUUGCAGAUGCUUGAGGAUGCUGGUUUUGAUGUGAUUCUUGCAGAGGAUCGAACCGAUCAGGUUCAGAUAAGCCUAUCAAAUUGAUUUUUAGUUGGUCAUGUUUUUGUAUGGUUAUGAAAGGCUAAUGGAAUGUUGUUGUGGUGGUGGUGGUUUUAGUUCUUACAAGUUCUGCAGCGUGAAUUGAACCAAGUGGAGAAAGAGAAGGAUGCAUUCAUCUCUGACUUCUCUAAGGUGAGGUUUCAUUUUCCAUCAUCUUGUUAAACCUAUAGAGUUGGGAUGUAAGUAAUGGUACAUAAUAAUGUUUUGGUGAAAAUUCAGGAAGACUAUGAUGAAAUAGUUGGUGGAUGGAAGGCAAAGCUGAUAAGAAGCUCAUCAGGGGAGCAGAGAUGGGGCCUUUUCCUUGCCAAGAAGAAGAACUAAAUCCUGCUGCCUGCUCAUCUUUAUGUUAAAGAAGUGAAUAAAUAAAUGCAGUUAGGCAUAUGUGUGCAAGAAACUAUUUCCUGCUUGCAAUUAUCAG